UAUGGCUCAGGAUGAACGCUAGCGGCAGGCUUAACACAUGCAAGUCGAGGGGUAGAGGCUUUCGGGCCUUGAGACCGGCGCACGGGUGCGUAACGCGUAUGCAAUCUGCCUUUCACAGAGGGAUAGCCCAGAGAAAUUUGGAUUAAUACCUCAUAGCAUAACCAAGCCGCAUGGUUUGGUUAUUAAAGUCACAACGGUGAAAGAUGAGCAUGCGUCCCAUUAGCUAGUUGGUAAGGUAACGGCUUACCAAGGCGACGAUGGGUAGGGGUCCUGAGAGGGAGAUCCCCCACACUGGUACUGAGACACGGACCAGACUCCUACGGGAGGCAGCAGUGAGGAAUAUUGGUCAAUGGGCGCAAGCCUGAACCAGCCAUGCCGCGUGCAGGAUGACGGUCCUAUGGAUUGUAAACUGCUUUUGCACAGGAAGAAACACUCCGACGUGUCGGAGCUUGACGGUACUGUGAGAAUAAGGAUCGGCUAACUCCGUGCCAGCAGCCGCGGUAAUACGGAGGAUCCAAGCGUUAUCCGGAAUCAUUGGGUUUAAAGGGUCCGUAGGCGGUCUUGUAAGUCAGUGGUGAAAGCCCAUCGCUCAACGGUGGAACGGCCAUUGAUACUGCAGGACUUGAAUUAUUGGGAAGUAACUAGAAUAUGUAGUGUAGCGGUGAAAUGCUUAGAGAUUACAUGGAAUACCAAUUGCGAAGGCAGGUUACUACCAAUUUAUUGACGCUGAUGGACGAAAGCGUGGGUAGCGAACAGGAUUAGAUACCCUGGUAGUCCACGCCGUAAACGAUGGAUACUAGCUGUUGGGAGCAAUCUCAGUGGCUAAGCGC
rnacentral:rRNA from 1 species